AGAGUUUGAUCAUGGCUCAGGAUGAACGCUAGCUACAGGCUUAACACAUGCAAGUCGAGGGGCAGCAUGUUGGUUGCUUGCAACCAAUGAUGGCGACCGGCGCACGGGUGAGUAACGCGUAUCCAACCUACCCUUGUCCAUCGGAUAACCCGUCGAAAGGCGGCCUAACACGAUAUGCGGUUCUCAGCAGGCAUCUAACGAGAACGAAAUGUGAAGGAGAAGGAUGGGGAUGCGUCUGAUUAGCUUGUUGGCGGGUAACGCCACAAGGCGACGAUCGAGUAGGGGUUCUGAGAGGAACGGUCCCCANAUUGGAACUGAGACACGGUACCAAACUCCGUACGGGAGCA
rnacentral:rRNA from 1 species